rnacentral:rRNA from 1 species
AUACGUAGGGGGCGAGCGUUGUCCGGAAUGAUUGGGCGUAAAGGGCGCGUAGGCGGCGCGGUAAGUCUGGAGUGAAAGUCCUGCUUUCAAGGUGGGAAUUGCUUUGGAUACUGCCGCGCUUGAGUGCAGGAGAGGUUAUCGGAAUUCCCGGUGUAGCGGUGAAAUGCGUAGAGAUCGGGAGGAACACCGGUGGCGAAGGCGGGUAACUGGGCCGUAACUGACGCUGAGGCGCGAAAGCGUGGGGAGCGAACAGGAUUAGAUACCCUGAUAGUCCACGCGGUAAACGAUGAAUGCUAGGUGUUGCGGGUAUCGACCCCCGCAGUGCCGGAGUAAACACAAUAAGCAUUCCGCCUGGGGAGUACGGCCGCAAGGUUGAAACUUAAAGGAAUUGACGGGG